rnacentral:rRNA from 1 species
CCCGUGACUACCUAACACUGUUGCUUCGGCGGGGAGCCCUCUCGGGGGCGAGCCGCCGGGGACUACUGAACUUCAUGCCUGAGAGUGAUGCAGUCUGAGUCUGAAUAUAAAAUCAGUCAAAACUUUCAACAAUGGAUCUCUUGGUUCCGGCAUCGAUGAAGAACGCAGCGAACUGCGAUAAGUAAUGUGAAUUGCAGAAUUCAGUGAAUCAUCGAGUCUUUGAACGCACAUUGCGCCCCCUGGCAUUCCGGGGGGCAUGCCUGUCCGAGCGUCAUUGCUGCCCAUCAAGCCCGGCUUGUGUGUUGGGUCGUCGUCCCCCCCGGGGGACGGGCCCGAAAGGCAGCGGCGGCACCGUGUCCGGUCCUCGAGCGUAUGGGGCUUUGUCACCCGCUCGAUUAGGGCCGGCCGGGCGCCAGCCGACGUCUCCAACCAUUUUCUUCAGGUUGACCUCGGAUCAGGUAGGGAUACCCGCUGAACUUAAGCAUAUCAAUAAGCGGAGGAA